ACUAAGCGUACACGGUGGAUGCCCUGGCAGUCAGAGGCGAUGAAGGACGUGCUAAUCUGCGAUAAGCGUCGGUGAGGUGAUAUGAACCGUUAUAACCGGCGAUUUCCGAAUGGGGAAACCCAGUGUGUUUCGACACACUAUCAUUAACUGAAUCCAUAGGUUAAUGAGGCGAACCGGGGGAACUGAAACAUCUAAGUACCCCGAGGAAAAGAAAUCAACCGAGAUUCCCCCAGUAGCGGCGAGCGAACGGGGAGGAGCCCAGAGCCUGAAUCAGUGUGUGUGUUAGUGGAAGCGUCUGGAAAGGCGCGCGAUACAGGGUGACAGCCCCGUACACAAAAAUGCACAUAUUGUGAGCUCGAUGAGUAGGGCGGGACACGUGGUAUCCUGUCUGAAUAUGGGGGGACCAUCCUCCAAGGCUAAAUACUCCUGACUGACCGAUAGUGAACCAGUACCGUGAGGGAAAGGCGAAAAGAACCCCGGCGAGGGGAGUGAAAAAGAACCUGAAACCGUGUACGUACAAGCAGUGGGAGCCUCUUAAUGGGGUGACUGCGUACCUUUUGUAUAAUGGGUCAGCGACUUAUAUUCUGUAGCAAGGUUAACCGAAUAGGGGAGCCGAAGGGAAACCGAGUCUUAACUGGGCGUUAAGUUGCAGGGUAUAGACCCGAAACCCGGUGAUCUAGCCAUGGGCAGGUUGAAGGUUGGGUAACACUAACUGGAGGACCGAACCGACUAAUGUUGAAAAAUUAGCGGAUGACUUGUGGCUGGGGGUGAAAGGCCAAUCAAACCGGGAGAUAGCUGGUUCUCCCCGAAAGCUAUUUAGGUAGCGCCUCGUGAAUUCAUCUCCGGGGGGUAGAGCACUGUUUCGGCAAGGGGGUCAUCCCGACUUACCAACCCGAUGCAAACUGCGAAUACCGGAGAAUGUUAUCACGGGAGACACACGGCGGGUGCUAACGUCCGUCGUGAAGAGGGAAACAACCCAGACCGCCAGCUAAGGUCCCAAAGUCAUGGUUAAGUGGGAAACGAUGUGGGAAGGCCCAGACAGCCAGGAUGUUGGCUUAGAAGCAGCCAUCAUUUAAAGAAAGCGUAAUAGCUCACUGGUCGAGUCGGCCUGCGCGGAAGAUGUAACGGGGCUAAACCAUGCACCGAAGCUGCGGCAGCGACACUAUGUGUUGUUGGGUAGGGGAGCGUUCUGUAAGCCUGUGAAGGUGGCCUGUGAGGGUUGCUGGAGGUAUCAGAAGUGCGAAUGCUGACAUAAGUAACGAUAAAGCGGGUGAAAAGCCCGCUCGCCGGAAGACCAAGGGUUCCUGUCCAACGUUAAUCGGGGCAGGGUGAGUCGACCCCUAAGGCGAGGCCGAAAGGCGUAGUCGAUUGGAAACAGGUUAAUAUUCCUGUACUUGGUGUUACUGCGAAGGGGGUACGGAGAAGGCUAUGUUGGCCGGGCGACGGUUGUCCCGGUUUAAGCGUGUAGGCUGGUUUUCCAGGCAAAUCCGGAGAAUCAAGGCUGAGGCGUGAUGACGAGGCACUACGGUGCUGAAGCAACAAAUGCCCUGCUUCCAGGAAAAGCCUCUAAGCAUCAGGUAACAUCAAAUCGUACCCCAAACCGACACAGGUGGUCAGGUAGAGAAUACCAAGGCGCUUGAGAGAACUCGGGUGAAGGAACUAGGCAAAAUGGUGCCGUAACUUCGGGAGAAGGCACGCUGAUAUGUAGGUGAAGCGACUUGCUCGUGGAGCUGAAAUCAGUCGAAGAUACCAGCUGGCUGCAACUGUUUAUUAAAAACACAGCACUGUGCAAACACGAAAGUGGACGUAUACGGUGUGACGCCUGCCCGGUGCCGGAAGGUUAAUUGAUGGGGUUAGCGGCAACGCGAAGCUCUUGAUCGAAGCCCCGGUAAACGGCGGCCGUAACUAUAACGGUCCUAAGGUAGCGAAAUUCCUUGUCGGGUAAGUUCCGACCUGCACGAAUGGCGUAAUGAUGGCCAGGCUGUCUCCACCCGAGACUCAGUGAAAUUGAACUCGCUGUGAAGAUGCAGUGUACCCGCGGCAAGACGGAAAGACCCCGUGAACCUUUACUAUAGCUUGACACUGAACAUUGAGCCUUGAUGUGUAGGAUAGGUGGGAGGCUUUGAAGUGUGGACGCCAGUCUGCAUGGAGCCGGCCUUGAAAUACCACCCUUUAAUGUUUGAUGUUCUAACGUGGGCCCCUAAUCGGGGUUGCGGACAGUGUCUGGUGGGUAGUUUGACUGGGGCGGUCUCCUCCUAAAGAGUAACGGAGGAGCACGAAGGUUGGCUAAUCCUGGUCGGACAUCAGGAGGUUAGUGCAAUGGCAUAAGCCAGCUUGACUGCGAGCGUGACGGCGCGAGCAGGUGCGAAAGCAGGUCAUAGUGAUCCGGUGGUUCUGAAUGGAAGGGCCAUCGCUCAACGGAUAAAAGGUACUCCGGGGAUAACAGGCUGAUACCGCCCAAGAGUUCAUAUCGACGGCGGUGUUUGGCACCUCGAUGUCGGCUCAUCACAUCCUGGGGCUGAAGUAGGUCCCAAGGGUAUGGCUGUUCGCCAUUUAAAGUGGUACGCGAGCUGGGUUUAGAACGUCGUGAGACAGUUCGGUCCCUAUCUGCCGUGGGCGCUGGAGAACUGAGGGGGGCUGCUCCUAGUACGAGAGGACCGGAGUGGACGCAUCACUGGUGUUCGGGUUGUCAUGCCAAUGGCACUGCCCGGUAGCUAAAUGCGGAAGAGAUAAGUGCUGAAAGCAUCUAAGCACGAAACUUGCCCGAGAUGAGUUCUCCCUGACCCUUUAAGGGUCCUGAAGGAACGUUGAAGACGACGACGUUGAUAGGCCGGGUGUGUAAGCGCAGCGAUGCGUUGAGCUAACCGGUACUAAUGAACCGUGAGGCUUAACC
rnacentral:rRNA from 1 species